rnacentral:lncRNA from 1 species
AUAUAUUGUGUUGAUGCAGUUUGCUUCAAAAGAAUAAUAACAUAGUCAAAAGCUAAGAAAUAUUCAUAGUCAAAAGCUAGGCAAUUAACUAUGAUUAUUAAAAUUCAUAAAAUCAUUUUUAAUAGGGGUUAAAUGCAAAGUCGAUCACUGAACUUUCUGAUAUUUGGGUAUUGAGCCCCUUUAUUCUGGUCAAAGCAAAC